GACGAACGCUGGCGGCGUGCUUAACACAUGCAAGUCGAACGGAAAGGCCCUGCUUUUGUGGGGUGCUCGAGUGGCGAACGGGUGAGUGACACGUGAGUAACCUGCCCUUGACUUUGGGAUAACUUCAGGAAACUGGGGCUAAUACCGGAUAGGAGCUCCUGCUGCAUGGUGGGGGUUGGAAAGUUUCGGCGGUUGGGGAUGGACUCGCGGCUUAUCCGCUUGUUGGUGGGGUAGUGGCUUACCAAGGCUUUGACGGGUAGCCGGCCUGGGAGGGUGACCGGCCACAUUGGGACUGAGGUACGGCCCAGACUGCUACGGGAGGCAGCAGUGGGGAAUCUUGCACAAUGGGCGGAAGCCUGAUGCAGCAACGCCGCGUGCGGGAUGCCGGCCUUCGGGUUGUAAACCGCUUUCGACUGUGACGAAGCGUGAGUGACGGUAAUGGGUAAAGAAGCACCGGCUAACUACGUG
rnacentral:rRNA from 1 species